AUUGAACGCUGGCGGCAUGCCUAACACAUGCAAGUCGAACGGCAGCNCGGGUAGCUUGCUACCUGGCGGCGAGUGGCGGACGGGUGAGUAAUACAUAGGAAUCUGCCCAGUAUGGGGGAUAGCCCGGGAAACCCGGAUUAAUACCGCAUACGUCCUACGGGAGAAAGCGGGGGAUCUUCGGACCUCGCGCUAUUGGAUGAGCCUAUGUCUGAUUAGCUAGUUGGUAGGGUAAUGGCCUACCAAGGCAACGAUCAGUAGCUGGUCUGAGAGGACGAUCAGCCACACCGGAACUGAGACACGGUCCGGACUCCUACGGGAGGCAGCAGUGGGGAAUAUUGGACAAUGGGCGAAAGCCUGAUCCAGCAAUGCCGCGUGUGUGAAGAAGGCCUGCGGGUUGUAAAGCACUUUCAGAAGAGAAGAAAAGCGCCGUGCUAAUACCGCGGUGUCUUGACGUAACCUUCAGAAGAAGCACCGGCUAACUCCGUGCCAGCCGCCGCGGUAAUAC
rnacentral:rRNA from 1 species